rnacentral:rRNA from 1 species
AACGAACGCUGGCGGCAUGCCUAACACAUGCAAGUCGAACGAGACCUUCGGGUCUAGUGGCGCACGGGUGCGUAACGCGUGGGAACCUGCCCUUAGGUUCGGAAUAACUCCCCGAAAGGGGUGCUAAUACCGGAUAAUGUCUUCGGACCAAAGAUUUAUCGCCUUUGGCUGGGCCCGCGUUGGAUUAGCUAGUUGGUAGGGUAAAAGCCUACCAAGGCGACGAUCCAUAGCUGGUCUGAGAGGAUGAUCAGCCACACUGGGACUGAGACACGGCCCAGACUCCUACGGGAGGCAGCAGUGGGGAAUAUUGGACCAUGGGCGAAAGCCUGAUCCAGCAAUGCCGCGUGAGUGAUGAAGGCCUUAGGGUUGUAAAGCUCUUUUACCCGGGAUGAUAAUGACAGUACCGGGAGAAUAAGCUCCGGCUAACUCCGUG